CAUCGAGGAGCUUCCAGAUGACUCGUCACCCAGCGCCGUCCUCGCCCACUCCCUGGCUGCAGUGGGCAACCUCUGCACCAUGAAACCUGCCCUGGAGCCAGCCCUAGAGACCCACCUCUUGCGAGCUGCCCUUCACUCCGUCUUCACCCUGGGCACGGAGAAGGACACCACCGACAUCCAGGCUCUGCACAAAGUCAUCCCAGAGGUCCUGGAUGCCAUGCUGGGGAACCUGCUGGCAGAGUCCCCAGACACAGACAGGCUCCACUUCAUCUUGGAGGUGAGCCCCAUUUGACCGUAACUCUUUGGGGGACUGGUAAGGAGAGACUGGAAGAUCCAUUUUCUACUCUGUCCUCCUAGCUGGGUCCCCAGUGGGCCGUCCUUGGUUGGGGAGCUCAGUGCAAUGCAGUGUGAGGUCCUUCCUUCUUGAGGGACAGAGGAAAGAGCUGGGACUUCAAGCCAGAGCUCUGCCUGGUUCUGCUGAGCACUAACCACAGGGCUCC